GUGCGUAUGCCGAUACGGAUUUUGAAAUUGGAACCGAGUCGCGAGAAAGUCGUGGUGAUGAUUGGUUGGGCAGUUUAUUUGGUACUGGUAUU
rnacentral:ribozyme from 1 species